GACGAACGCUGGCGGCGUGCCUAACACAUGCAAGUCAAAGGGAAGCAGCUUCGGUUGCGAGUACUUGGCGCAAGGGUGAGUAACGUAUAGGUAAUCUGCCCUUUGGACUGGAAUAACCCCGAGAAAUCGGGGACAAUACCAGAUGAAGCAGCGACAACCGCAUGGUUGUCCUGCCAAAGAUUUAUCGCCAAAGGAUGAGCCUAUAUCCCAUCAGGUAGUUGGUAGGGUAAAAGCCUACCAAGCCUACGACGGGUAGCUGGUCUGAGAGGAUGAUCAGCCACAUUGGAACUGAGACACGGUCCAGACUCCUACGGGAGGCAGCAGUGAGGAAUAUUGCGCAAUGGGCGAAAGCCUGACGCACCAACGCCGCGUGGAUGAUGAAGUUCUUCGGAAUGUAAAGUCCUUUUGUAGAGGAAGAAUAUCCCGGUUUACCGGGACUGACGGUACUCUACGAAUAAGCCACGGGCUAAC
rnacentral:rRNA from 1 species